UUUUUUUUUUUUUUUAACUAAAAUCAUGUAACAAGCAUUUAUCAUACUAUUAUAAAUAUCUUGUAAUUAUUUUUCUUUUUAGGGCCUUACCUGCAGCAUAUGUAAAUUCCCAGGCUAGGGGUGGAAUUGGAGCUGCAGCUGCAGGCCUACACUGCAGCCACAGCAGUGAGGGAUCUGAGCUGCAUCUAUGACCCGUGCCACAGCUUGCAGCAAAGCUGGAUCCUUCACCCACAGAGUGAGGCCACGGAUUGAACUCACAUCCUCAUGGAUACUAGUCAGAUUCUUAACCCACUGAACCACACAGGAAUUCCUCUUAUAAAUUUUUAACCGUGGCAAACUAAUACAAUGUAAAAUUUACCAUCUUAACUAUUUUUAAGUGUACCAUUCAGUGAUAGUAAGUAAAUUCAUAUUGUCAUGCAACUAUUAUCACUGCCUGCUCCCCAGAAUUUUUCAUCUUCCCAAAUUGAAACUCUAUGAUUAUUACACAGUAACUCCCCAUUACCCCCCUGGCAACCACCAUUCUAUGUUCUACCUCUAUGAAUUUGACUCCUCUAGGUAUCUCACAUAAGUAGAAUACAUGAAAGCCUCGCAAUUUAACAUAUAUUGAUGACAUAAUAUUAAAUAUACAGUUUGACUCAUUUUGUAUUUGUGAACAUGUUCAUUUGCAAUUUUAAUUUUUUGUUUUAGUGCAUUAUAUGUUUUAUGUAACCAUUAUACCUUUAGAAUAGAUUCCUAGAAGUGGAAUUACUGAAAAUAAAGAGUAUGACUAUUUUUAAGAAAUUUCAUACAGUUUUCCAAUAUACUUAACAAAUGAAUAUUAAUUUAUGCACCCCAAAAUAAUGUAAGAUAGUACCUAUCUUGCUAUAUUCUCACCAGUAUUACAAUCUUCUAAAGUCUAUGCUAAAGUUUUUUGAUCAGAAAAAAGAAAAAAGAAAAGCAUCUGUUAAUAUAUAUCUAUGACACUUGUAAGACUGACUAAUUUUUCACUUUUAUUAAUUGAACUCUCUUUUUUGGAAUAUUUGCUCAUAUCUUUUCUUCACUUACCUAAUAUAUUAUUAAUCAUUUUCUUAUAAAUUCAUAUAAAGCUCUUUAUGUAACAAAAUUAACCAUUUUUUGUCUAUCAUAGUUUCUGUAAAUACUUUUUUGGCAUGUUUGUUUUAAAUUUUUUGUUGAACAGAGCAGUUUCUAGGAAUUUUUAUAACUAGGAUACACUUAGAAGGAAGAACAGUCAUGAACUUUAGAAUUCUCUCAGGCAUGUAACUUCACAGGACAUUAAUUAUUCAUCCCUAAAAGAGUCAAAUCCAAGAUCAGGUUUUCUACAACUAAGUCAAUGCUUUUGCAUAAUAUUUAAAAGCAAAUUGGCGAUUAACCUUGGACAAUAGAGCAAUGAUGUAAGGUGACUUUUGCAAUAAACACUGUUUAAAAGUCAGGUGGCGCUAGUCAGCUCCAGCUGGAACUACUCUGUAAAGUAAAAUGUGUAUUUCUCUCCGCUGUUUCCAAUGCCAAAUACAACUAAGGUCAUUACUAAUUUGCACCAAAGAUUUCAGAGCAACCAACAGACCAUAACAAAGAUACACAAUUCUUAUGUUGUGAACAAAGGCCAAGUUGAGCUGUCACUGAUGUCCAUAUAUGGAGCCUUAUUUUUUUAAUCUAUAUUUUAAGAAUAAACAUCUUUCCUUGGUAGACCAGAUAACAGAAUUUAGAGAAGGUAAAAGAAGUUUUCAAACAUAGAAAAUAUAGAAAUUAUCACAAUUUUGAGCAAGUCAUAAAUGUCCUGAGACAUUUGUUUAUGCACCUGGGCAUUUAUGAAAACUAGAGGAAAAGAAAAGGUGCAUUUGUUGUGACAGUAACACUGCACUUUGCUUUGCAAGAGGAUGGAGUCUUAUCCUGGUUUCUCUGCUCACACCUGACAUGCAAGGGCAUUUUGCAAAAGAAAUCAGUGAGGAUGAAAAUACAAGCCAUUCAAUGUCUGCAUGAUUCAAAAGGCAAAACUCAUCUCAGUUUCCUCUUCUACCCAAAUUAGAGUGAAGAUUACAAGUCUGUGGGUUUACAGAGGACAAGGUGAAUGGUCCUGUCACAACCAUAGUCCUCACAGCUUCUGAGAUCUGAGUAUGAAACAAGCCCAAGCCAGAUUUACUGCUGUUCUGUAAGCCCAGGGUUUAUAAAGUUACAAAACUGAAAAGAUCUCGCCUCUGUUCCAAACAAGCAAUAGGAAAAAAUGGACUGUGUUUUUUCUGUAACAAUACCAAAAUAUUUCCUUUUAUGUCAUUGUUUAUAUAUCAGAUUUCACAUAAACAUUCUAUUGUAUCAAUUCAUUUGAAUCUUGCCACCACCUCGGGUGCAGGGCACCUCUUUAGCUCCAUGUAUCUAAAGGUAUCUUGAAUAUAGCAGGUAUGCAAUAAAUGCUUUUUGAAUAAAUCUGUAUAUAGACAAAAUUUUCUCCUCAAAAAUGACCACAAGAAUAGGCCAGUCAUCAUGUUUCAAAUGUAAAAAAAAGUAGCAGUGGUUUAUUUCUUGAUAAUUCACACACACACACAACAUGCAAACAAAGUAGCAUGAUGUAUUAGGUGAGGAGUCAAUUAUAAUUUAGUAAAUGAGUCACAUCAGUUACUAUGCCUUUUCUGUACUCAAACCCAACCAAUUCUACUUUUUAACUCUAACCAAAAUCUUCUGAAAUGUUUUUUAAAACCAGUUAAGCAUAGGGUGUGGUAUCUCGCCCUUCAGUUAAUUCUGGGUUGGCUAGAUGGUAAUGGGGGAAUGGACAGUAUUUGGAAAUCCAGGAGCAUGACAUGAUGCUCCAUCAAAAUUUGUCACAGUGAUAAAAGGAGAGUCCAGGAGACAAUAUCAGAGGAUUUCCUGCAGUCCUCCCCUACCCCAAAGCCAUAAUUCUAGAAGCAUAAAGUUGAAAAUUGGAGUUUGUAGCAACUUCAGUGGGCAAAAUGUGGCUGAGGAAGAACACACAUUUGAGAAAAUCAAAGAAUCCUAUGCCAAAAUGUGGGCAAAAUAGAAAAAGAGUUACAUCAGAUAAUACAUGAUAUCCACUUCAAAACAAACAAAUGAGAUAUAUUUGGUAUUUGCUAUUGAGAAACUGAACACAUCAACAAAAAUUACUUUGUGUUACAAUUUAUUUUAUGCAAUACUUCUUCCAUGGCCCUUCUUUAAUUCUUACCGUUGUACUGUAAUAAAAUUUAUCUCUCCCACUAGAGUUUAAGAUCCUAGGAGUUCCUGUCCUGGCUCAGUGGUUAACGAACCCAACUAGCAUCCAUGAGGACUCGGGUUCAAUCCCUGACCUUGCUCAGUGGGUUAAGGAUCCGGCAUUGCCAUGAGCUGUGGUGUAGGUUGCAGACGCGGCUCAGAUCCCCGAGUUGCUGUGGCUGUGGCGUAGGCCAGUGCCUACAGCUCUGAUUCGACCUCUAGCCUGGGAACCUCCA
rnacentral:lncRNA from 1 species